GCAGCCGAAACUGCGCCUGCGCGCCGGGCUUCCUGGCUGCCAGGAGUUACUGCAUUCGAGUAAGACUGGGACAGUGCUUCACCUUGUGAACGAAAAGAUGUUUCCUUUCCGAGAUGACUAUUUUUCUUCAGCGGCUUCUUGGAUCCUAGAAGGGGCAAAAAUGACUAGUUUCUGGGGCAUCAUGUGGGAUCUUAAUUCCCCAGCUGAGGAUUGAACCUGCACCCCCUGUAGUGGGGGCACAGAGUCUUAACCACUGGACUGCCAGGGAAGUCCCUGUAUAUUCUUCAAGGGAUUCCAGGCUAGUGCUGCUUGGUCCUGCUCAGCCUCAGCCCUUGGUCCUAUUCUCUGUGUCAGCCCAGCCAUGGCACUCUUCUGCCCUUCUCUUAUCCUGGUUUCCUAGGUGGUAAGUUUAGUUUCUACUUCCUCGUCACCUCUUUGACAAAAAGUCCUUUGUAU